AUUGAACGCUGGCGGCAGGCCUAACACAUGCAAGUCGAACGAGCGGCGGUCGGGUGAGUAAUAGCUGGGAAUUGCCCACUCGAGGGGGGUAACAGUUGGAACCGACUGCUAAUACCUCAUACGAUUGGAUUGCUCGGGUGGGGUUAGAUCGUUGGUGAGGUAAUGGCUCACCAAGGCGACGAUGCCUCGCGGGUCUGAGAGGAUGAUCAGCCACACUGGAACUGAGACACGGGCCAGACUCCUACGGGAGGCAGCAGUGGGGAAUAUUGCACAAUGGGCGAAAGCCUGAUGGAGCCACGCCGCGUGUGUGAAGAAGGUCUUCGGGUUGUAAAGCACUUUCAGUGGGGAGGCGGUACUCGAAGAAGAAGCACCGGCUAACUACGUGCCAGCAGCCGCGGUAAUAC
rnacentral:rRNA from 1 species